GGUGAACGCUGGCGGCGUGCUUAAGACAUGCAAGUCGAACGGCAGUCUUCGGACUGUAGUGGCGCACGGGUGAGUAACGCGUAACUGACCUACCCCAAAGUCGCGGAUAACGAUUCGAAAGAAUCGCUAAUACGUGAUGUGCUGUCAGAUUGUGUUCUGCCAGUAAAGAUUGAUUGCUUUGGGAUGGGGUUGCGUUCCAUCAGCUAGUUGGUGGGGUAAAGGCCCACCAAGGCGACGACGGAUAGCCGGCCUGAGAGGGUGGCCGGCCACAGGGGCACUGAGACACGGGUCCAACUCAUACGGGAGGCAGCAGUUAGGAAUCUUCCACAAUGGGCGAAAGCCUGAUGGAGCGACGCCGCGUGAGGGAUGAAGGUCUUCGGAUCGUAAACCUCUGAAUCAGGGACGAAAGACACUUCGGUGGGAUGACGGUACCUGAGUAAUAGCACCGGCUAACUCCGUGCCAGCCGCCGCAGUAACAC
rnacentral:rRNA from 1 species